rnacentral:rRNA from 1 species
GUGGUAUCCUGUCUGAAUAUGGGGGACCCAUCCUCCAAGGCUAAAUACUCCUGACUGACCGAUAGUGAACCAGUACCGUGAGGGAAAGGCGAAAAGAACCCCGGCGAGGGGAGUGAAAAAGAACCUGAAACCGUGUACGUACAAGCAGUGGGAGCACGCUUAGGCGUGUGACUGCGUACCUUUUGUAUAAUGGGUCAGCGACUUAUAUUCUGUAGCAAGGUUAACCGAAUAGGGGAGCCGAAGGGAAACCGAGUCUUAACUGGGCGUUAAGUUGCAGGGUAUAGACCCGAAACCCGGUGAUCUAGCCAUGGGCAGGUUGAAGGUUGGGUAACACUAACUGGAGGACCGAACCGACUAAUGUUGAAAAAUUAGCGGAUGACUUGUGGCUGGGGGUGAAAGGCCAAUCAAACCGGGAGAUAGCUGGUUCUCCCCGAAAGCUAUUUAGGUAGCGCCUCGUGAAUUCAUCUCCGGGGGUAGAGCACUGUUUCGGCA